rnacentral:tRNA from 1 species
GCCUGGGUAGCUCAGUUGGUUAAGUGUCUGGCUCUUGACUUCGGCUCAGGUCAUGACCUCACGGUUCGUGGAUUCAAGCCCCACCUCGGGCU